rnacentral:rRNA from 1 species
AUGCCCCUAGUCAACAAGCUUCUCCGCAAGCUGGCUACAUGGAAGUCCGCUCUUCUUACGCGUGGUGAGCGCUUGGCUUUGGUCCGGCAUGUGUUAUCUGCCAUGCCCGUGCACAUCUUACUCGCCAUGGCUCUUUCUCCUCCAAUCCUCAAGAAGGUCAACAGAAUCAUCCGGGAUUUCCUGUGGCACGGACGCAAAGACACGCGUGCGGGUUCUUGUCUUGUAAGUUGGGCGCGAGUCUGCCGACCCAUUGAGCUCGGAGGGCUUGGCAUACGGGACUUGCACCGCACGGGUAUUUCUCUCCGUGUCCGGCGGCUCUGGGUGCAGGCCACGGAUCGCAGUCGCCCUUGGUCUCACCUCCAGCUUCCUCAGGAUGCCGAGGUCGCCUAG